AGAGGGGGACAACAGUUGGAAACGACUGCUAAUACCGCAUAAGCCCACGGGUCGGCAUCGACCAGAGGGAAAAGGAGCAAUCCGCUUUGAGAUGGCCUCGCGUCCGAUUAGCUAGUUGGUGAGGUAACGGCCCACCAAGGCAACGAUCGGUAGCCGGACUGAGAGGUUGAACGGCCACAUUGGGACUGAGACACGGCCCAGACUCCUACGGGAGGCAGCAGUGGGGAAUAUUGCACAAUGGGGGAAACCCUGAUGCAGCGACGCCGCGUGGAGGAAGAAGGUCUUCGGAUUGUAAACUCCUGUUGUUGGGGAAGAUAAUGACGGUACCCAACAAGGAAGUGACGGCUAACUACGUGCCAGCAGCCGCGGUAAAACGUAGGUCACAAGCGUUGUCCGGAAUUACUGGGUGUAAAGGGAGCGCAGGCGGGAAGACAAGUUGGAAGUGAAAUCUAUGGGCUCAACCCAUAAACUGCUUUCAAAACUGUUUUUCUUGAGUAGUGCAGAGGUAGGCGGAAUUCCCGGUGUAGCGGUGGAAUGCGUAGAUAUCGGGAGGAACACCAGUGGCGAAGGCGGCCUACUGGGCACCAACUGACGCUGAGGCUCGAAAGUGUGGGUAGCAAACAGGAUUAGAUACCCUGGUAGUCCACACCGUAAACGAUGAUUACUAGGUGUUGGAGGAUUGACCCCUUCAGUGCCGCAGUUAACACAAUAAGUAAUCCACCUGGGGAGUACGACCGCAAGGUUGAAACUCAAAGGAAUUGACGGGGGCCCGCACAAGCAGUGGAGUAUGUGGUUUAAUUCGACGCAACGCGAAGAACCUUACCAAGUCUUGACAUCCCUUGACAGGCAUAGAAAUAUGUUUUCUCUUCGGAGCAAGGAGACAGGUGGUGCAUGGUUGUCGUCAGCUCGUGUCGUGAGAUGUUGGGUUAAG
rnacentral:rRNA from 1 species